UUUGACCCUGGGAGCGAGGCUAUGUGCCGAUUGCGUUGGCAUAUAGUGAAUCACUGGCUAUUCUGUCCCCGUGCCGUUUGAGAAGCAUCGCUUGUUGAUGAAGUCAAGUGAGCCCAGUUUUAAUAUUAAACAGGGUCCUCUUUGCUGCCCAUGGGCAGUCAUUAUCUCCGUGCAGCCCACCUUUACAAUUGCCCAGUGCUGGGUGCUUCUUCGACUCUGCCAGCUCCUAACAGUUUUCUGUUCAACCAGAUGACCCUGUACCGUCGAGAAGCCCAUCUUCAUCCCAUCCGAGCAUCUGUGACGGCUCUCGAUGGCAUCUUUGCACGCAUCCCAGAGCACUCACUUGCUGAGCUUGUGGCGUCCAUAACAACUUGCUUUGCUGCCAUAUUCUUGCCAGUAGUUUUCGAAAAAGGACAGUGGACAGUGGUGGAAAAAAUCGCCUGUCUCUGCUUUUUGCAGGUGUUUCAAAAUUGCUGCUCUCAUAUAUGGUGCGCACAUAGGAUAGUGCUUGGUGUAUUCUACCUUGCUCGACAAAGUAAUGGAUAAUAUGGCUAAUUUUGACACAGUUUGACAAACAAUCCACUGCACACACUGUCAUUCUCCUGGAAUUCCUGGAGAUUCACCAUGACUUUGGGGACCACCAUGCUAUCUACCCUGAUGGGACCAAAGGAAGCAAUGGCGUGGCGGCUGUUGCCCUUGAAGGCGAUUCUAUUAUAAUGGCACACUUGAACACGAAUGCCACAGUUUUCACCACAGAGCUUUACGCGAUUCUCCUGGCUCUGCAACACAUUCAACAAAAUGACCUUCAAAACUCCGUUAUUUACUCUGAUUCGCUAAGCUCUGUGCGUGUGCUGCUUUCAUGCUCUGACACCAAGAAUCACCUCGUCAAGCAAGGACGGGCGCUUGCGACUCAACUUUGUUCCCGAGGCUUUUCAAUCUGUCUCUGCUGAGUCCCCAACCACACUGGGAUCCCAGGGAAUGAACAAGCCGACCGUAAGGCUCGGCGAGCGUUGGCACAAGAGGAGUCGCCUCUAGGACUACCCUACCAAGACAUCCUGCCAGUGUUAAAGUUCAGCAUUGCUCCGCUUUUAGCCUUUAUCACCCAGUUCCUCAUGUAAAUCUCUCAUCCUGGAUCAUCUCAUCGCUCAUACUUGUAGAUAGCUUUUAACUGCCACACGCACUUGUUAUCGUCAUCCUCCUUUCUCUCUUAUCCUGGACCAUCUCAUCGCUCAUAACUGUAGAUAGCUUUUAAUAACUACACUCACUUGUUAUCGUCCUCUCUCUCUCUCCCAUCAUCAUCCCCCACACACUCCCCAUAGUUCUGGCACUCUUUGGCCUUUGCCGCCUUUGUACCAUUACACACAUAACCUCUCUCUCAAAUUUUUUGUGCCCACAUGAUUUGUUAUAAUCACCUAUGCAUUAUCUUGAAUCCCACGAGUUCUCGUUCACGGAGAACAGUUGAAUGGAUUGUGGAUGAUCGCAUUAAGACAUCCCUUGCUGCUGUGCGCCAUGCACUUAACACCAUGUUCAUCGUUCUUCAGUGACUCCAGCUUAGUCAUCUGUUUGCCAUCUGUGUUAAACAGUCCCGGCCAAGGUAGUGUCUCCGAGGUCUAUCACAUAUCCACCUUUUCAUUUCAAGUACAUGUUGCUGGGUGAGUGUCCUACAAGCUGAGAAGUGUUCUACGUCAGCACUCCAAAACACCACAGCUGCUCAUGUCGUGCUGGAGGUUAACGAACCAUUUUGAGUUUCAUACCGAGGCUAACGUGCCAUUUUCUGUUUCUUCUGUAUUUCACACAGAGAAAAACGAUCACCGUGGUCCUUCACAUUCUUUCUGGAUUCUUUGAGUGGGUCGAAGCACAUUAUUUCUUACUUCUUUAGAUCUACAGCAAUGACGGUCCAGCGUCUUGUUAUGGGAGCUAACUGCAUUCUUUCCACCUCUGGCUCUCUAUUCUCUAUAUUGCCUUUCCAUGGCUGUCUGUCCUCAGUUUCUACACCAAGGAUGUUGCCAUAUUCAGCAUCUGUACUACCGCAUGGCGUGUGCUUGGCUCUUCAUCAGUUAGAUCUUCUGUUAUAUCUAUUAGAUCUAUCUUCGUCACAUCACCUCUCGUCAUCUCUCUGCCUCCAUCACUAUAGCAUACAUCGGAAUUGCCCUUCUGAACGGCGAAAGGAUCACACAAGCUGGCUUUUAGCGACACUUGUGUCACUGCUGUCCGAACUGGGGACUACUACCUCACUAUGAUUAGGCUCAAAUUUUUCUUUAUUUUUUUUUUCUGGGGGAGGGGGGGGAGUACUGUACUCGGCUCAUUUCGUCAUCACUUGUGCAGUGUUCUAUUAUGCCAUUAGUGAUGUAUUGACGUUCUGGACUUCCAGAAUGUUCCCUGAUCUUUACUGUGUUGUAUUGUGCUAUUGUAGUAUUUCUGGAACACUGCACAGCAGGAUUGCCAUAUUUCAUUUGUUGUCUAUCAGCGUCAUCCACACCUGUGUCAGUGGUUACAUGGAAGCAGGGAUGGCGAGAUAGGAGAGUCAUCUUUGAAGGAAGGGAGCCCGCAUCCUGGGCCUCUUCAGGGGCCCAUGGUACCCAGGGCCCAACUCUUGCUACGCCCAACCAUGUGCACCCAGCGCACGGACUUCCGUGUGCAAGUGAUGCUGCAUGUGAUUAAUGUGCAGUUACUUUCAAGGAAGAGUUCAACAAGAAAGUUUUUUUCAAGCCUGCUUCAGAAAAUACUUCGUGUUUCAUUCUGCUCCUGUAGUCUGGCAACAUCAGUGUCGCCAGAUAUGCAACAAUUCACUCAGCACUGGAGUCUUGUGUCACGUUUUAACACGGUUACAUAUUUUCCUCAUACGCAAUCACAGUGGUACUGCAUGCAGGUAUCACUUCGCAUCUGCUUGCUGUGACCUUCUCUGUUCUCACAGCCGAAGCACUCUUUAUCUGCGUUUCUCUUCAGCGUUUCUGCUUCACUCUUCAGCUGCGUUUCAAGCACCCACUGACAAUGCUCUCAAAGAUGUGGUGACACAUUUUUCUUAUGUCACAUGCACCUUGUCUUUGUCCUUACUAGCCUGAAGCCACCUGCUAGUGCAAACCAGCACACAAUGAUUCCACCACUCUCUUCUUCGCUAUUCAACCACUGUUGCACUAUUUGAGGACUCCACUGACCUCCCAGGGAGAGGUGCUUGAGAAAAUCAGUUAAGAGAUCGUAAAGCAGGACUGAGUCCGUGUCACUGAGGGCAACAAACAUUGCCCGUUGCUUGUCUCGUUUGUAAUAUGGGAUGAAAAGCGUGUUCCUGUCGUCCACGGACUUGGUGACGAGCAGUUCUUCUGCGAGUAAAUGUGCCACAUUAUCACCUCUGAACAGAGGCAUCAAGUAGGUGUAAGUACUUGCAACCUUGUCAAACCUUACGCUGAGCUACAUGAAAAAUGCCUCAGUUAUUGUGUCGAAGAGGUGGCCCUUCUGAAAUAACUGGUCAGACGCACAUAGCUCGGCUUCUUUAGACCUGUCGAUUGUAGUGUCGAGGGACCUGAGAUCAACGAGCCUUAUAAAUAUGUUUGAGGGCUUUCCAAAUGCAAGUACAACAUCACUACCUCCCCUUGCAUAUGUAAGGCAGAUAGGUAAGGGAAGGGCAGGCUCGCAGCUUUCGGGCAUCGCCACCCUGGAUUUCCUGUUUCUCUGAUUGUCAGGCAUCCCCAUUGCUAGCGUGUGGGUGGGGACGGAUGUUUUGUCUCUUCUGUCAGGAAGUGAACCUCUUUUUCGCUUGACGAGGGCAUGCCAAUUUCCAUUGCUUUUUGCAGUUCUUUUUGCUCUUCCAUUGCUUGAUCUAUGCUGUGCUUUCCUCUUCCUUUGCUUUGAUGGGCUUUUCUGUAACUGAAUUGCUUUUCCAUUUCUUUUUUUGCAGCACGGAGCAAGCGGCACUUCAUUUCGGGUACACCUUGUGGGGUGCCCUCCGUUAUCAGAAUCUGACACACUGCUAGUAGUGUAUCUAUGGCCAAGGCAAUAUUGUGCCCUAAUGUCUCAGGUACAACUUCGAUGUCCAGGUAGCACACUAGUUUCUUGAGUUUGUCCAUUGAUGAAGUCAUUUUUCCUGAAGCAUUCACAGAGCGGAAUAGCUUCCCAUUCAGUUGCCGAACCUCAACUGUCCCCUCUAUUUUUCACAAUUUCAUAUGAGUUGUCGCUAUUUCCUUUUUCUGCAUAAUCACCUAGGCCACUUAGUCCACAAGCUCUGUCUUUACGUUUGUCUGUACUCCCACUCAGCUUUUUUGUACUUUAUCUCCCUGCAGAUGGCUUGCUCCUGCCAUAUGUAACUUGUUCCAAGGGGAUUUUUGAAAUCAAUAAACUGAAUUGAAUUUAAUUUUGUGCAACUUAGACUGGACAUUUUCACAAAUGACAUUGUUUACGUCUGGUGCUGCUGGGUUCCACAUAUCUGGACCCCCAUUGUGCGAACAUUUCAACUUGACAUGGUAAGUGCCGAAUGAAGGAGCUUGCCGAAAGAAGACAGUGUACCCUCACAAUAUUUCUUCCU